AGUGGAUGGGGAGCAACCUAGUUGUGCGUGUGUAAAGGUAGUGCCAAGAAAAGCGAUGACCAUGUUGAAAAUCAAUUCCCGGUACCCGAAACCGACACAGGUGGGCAAGUAGAGAAUACUAAGGGGCGCGAGGUAACUCUCUCCAAGGAACUCGGCAAAAUGACCCCGUAACUUAGGGAGAAGGGGUGCCACCGAGAGGUGGUCGCAGUGAAGAGGCCCAGGCGACUGUUUAGCAAAAACAUAGGUCUCUGCAAACUCGAAAGAGGAGGUAUAGGGGCUGACGCCUGCCCAGUGCCGGAAGGUUAAAGAAGUUGGUCAGUUUUAGGAUGAAGCUAGCGACUGAAGCCCCGGUGAACGGCGGCCGUAACUAUAACGGUCCUAAGGUAGCGAAAUUCCUUGUCGGGUAAGUUCCGACCCGCACGAAAGGCGUAACGAUCUGGGCGCUGUCUCGGAGAGAGGCUCGGCGAAAUAGGAUUGUCUGUGAAGAUACGGACUACCUGCAUUUGGACAGAAAGACCCUAUGAAGCUUUACUAUAGCUUGGAAUUGUGUUCGGGCUUCCUGUGCGCAGGAUAGGUGGGAGGCGUAGAAGGUAUUCUUGUGGGGAUACUGGAGCCAACGGUGAGAUACCACUCUCAGGAGGCUAGAAUUCUAACUUAAUUAAGGACAGUUUCAGGUGGGUAGUUUGACUGGGGCGGUCGCCUCCAAAAAGGUAACGGAGGCGUACAAAGGUUCCCUCAGACUGGUUGGAAAUCAGUCGAAGAGUGCAAAGGCAGAAGGGAGCUUGACUGCGAGAAGUACAGUUCGAGCAGGGUGGAAACACGGUCUUAGUGAUCCGACGGUGCUGUGUGGAAGGGCCGUCGCUCAACGGAUAAAAGUUACUCUAGGAUAACAGGCUGAUCUCCCCCAAGAGUUCACAUCGACGGGGAGGUUUGGCACCUCGAUGUCGGCUCAUCGCAACCUGGGGCGGAAGUACGUCCCAAGGGUUGGGCUGUUCGCCCAUUAAAGCGGUACGUGAGCUGGGUUCAGAACGUCGUGAGACAGUUCGGUCCAUAUCCGAUGUAGGCGUGAGAAUAUUGAGAGGAGCCUUCCUUAGUACGAGAGGACCGGGAAGGACGCACCGCUGGUGUACCUGUUAUGAUGCCAAUUGUAAACGCAGGGUAGCCAAGUGCGGAGAGGAUAACCGCUGAAAGCAUCUAAGUGGGAAGCCCACCUCAAGAUGAGUAUUCUGGUGUAAGGUCACGGGAAGACGACCCGUAAAUAGGCACGAGGUGGAAGUGCAGAGAUGUAUGAAGCCGAAGUGUACUAAUAGACCGUCGGCUU
rnacentral:rRNA from 1 species